rnacentral:rRNA from 1 species
GAUGAACGCUGGCGGCGUGCCUAAUACAUGCAAGUCGAGCGAAUGGAUUAAGAGCUUGCUCUUAUGAAGUUAGCGGCGGACGGGUGAGUAACACGUGGGUAACCUGCCCAUAAGACUGGGAUAACUCCGGGAAACCCGGGCUAAUACCGGAUAACAUUUUGAAACGCAUGGUUCGAAAUUGAAAGGCGGCUUCGGCUGUCACUUAUUGAUGGACCCGCGUCGCAUUAGCUAGUUGGUGAGGUAACGGCUCACCAAGGCAACGAUGCGUAGCCGACCUGAGAGGGUGAUCGGCCACACUGGGACUGAGACACGGCCCAGACUCCUACGGGAGGCAGCAGUAGGGAAUCUUCCGCAAUGGACGAAAGUCUGACGGAGCAACGCCGCGUGAGUGAUGAAGGCUUUCGGGUCGUAAAACUCUGUUGUUAGGGAAGAACAAGUGCUAGUUGAAUAAGCUGGCACCUUGACGGUACCUAACCAGAAAGCCACGGCUAACUACGUGCCAGCCGCCGCAGUAA